rnacentral:rRNA from 1 species
UACGGAGGGGGCUAGCGUUGUUCGGAAUUACUGGGCGUAAAGCGCACGUAGGCGGCUUGGUAAGUUAGAGGUGAAAGCCUGGAGCUCAACUCCAGAAUUGCCUUUAAGACUGCCGAGCUAGCAGGUGAGAGAGGUGAGUGGAAUUCCGAGUGUAGAGGUGAAAUUCGUAGAUAUUCGGAAGAACACCAGUGGCGAAGGCGGCUCACUGGCUCACACUGGACGCUGAGGUGCGAAAGCGUGGGGAGCAAACAGG